rnacentral:rRNA from 1 species
UUCAGGGGGUGCAAACGUUGCUCGGAAUCAUUGGGCGUAAAGCGCACGUAGGCGGUUCGUUAUGUCGGAUGUGAAAGCCCUUGGCUUAACCGAGGAAGUGCAUCCGAAACUGGCGAGCUAGAGUACGAAAGAGGAUCGCGGAAUUCCCGGUGUAGAGGUGAAAUUCGUAGAUAUCGGGAGGAACACCGGUGGCGAAGGCGGCGAUCUGGGUCGAUACUGACGCUGAGGUGCGAAAGCGUGGGGAGCAAACAGG